GUUUCGUUACGAAGAAUUUAUCAUAUGAUUUCCGACUGUGGGUGAUACGAUAAUUAUUCUCUUAAUAGUCACGCGACGUUUUUAGACAAAUCGUAGAUUGUCGUUUAGCCGUUAAGUGAUGGAGCGAUGGUUUCUCAAAUAGUUUGGCUUGGCGUGAAGGAUGUGUUCACUCAGAUAGCCAAGGAUGUUGUAGGUCAAGGAUUAGACCAUGGUACUUUAACGUUUAAGGUCAUUUUAGAUUGAUCAUCGAAAAUCAGAUCUUACAGGUUUGCGUUUGCUAUACAAAACAUAUUUCUUCAUAAAGCUUGUUAUGUUAACUUUAGAAAUUUUCUUCGUAAGACUUGAUAUGAUUGUACGAAGGAUUUUUCGUGUAAAUAAUGGGAACCGGUUUUACGAAGGUUGUAAAUAGGUGAUAUGUAUACAUAUGUCUUGUGCCGGCCUUUGGUAGAAGCGGAUGAAGCUCCCGCUUGCGGCCGAUUAUUUUACUUAUUAGUUUCGGCCACAUUUUAUAAAUAUUCUCUGUAGCUCAGUGGUAAACUCGUAUGUCUACAUUAUCUAUAGAGCACGGGUUCGACGGCUAAUGGCAGCUAUUACUUUUUAUUUUUUAUCUCUAUUUCUUUCUUUAAAAAGUGGCCAUAUUUUUCUUUUUUUUUUUCUUCUAGUCUUUUAAAUUCUAGGACCGGCUCAUAUGUCAAAGUAGUGUUGUUUCUGCGGGUUUUACGAGAAAAAGUUUCUGCAAUGAUUUCAAUCUUAGGUGACAAUUUCUUGGAGUUACUCAUGGAGUGUUACUGAAGUUUAUUUCAUUACGAUCUAGUCGUAGAAUGUUUUUCAUAAGUUUUUUGAGAGGAUUCUCAUGACACAUUAGUUUCUGAAUGAAUUGGUCAACCAGAGGUGGAUCUAGCUAACCAUCGGGAGGAAAGUGUUCCUUUUAAUGUGCACGAUGCUACAUCUAUUCCCGAGUUUUCUUCGUCGCAAAUGUUUUCGAUACUUUUCCGAAACACAAACCGAAUCGAACCAAACUAACUAUGGUUUAUUUCAAUUGGAAAAAUACUAGAACCAAACUAACCAAACCGAACCGAAAAAAUAACCGAAGUGCCUACCCCUAGUUGAAACUCAUCUUCAAAAUCUUUGUCUUCCAAAUAACUUGAAAAACUGGUCAUUCUUCUGAUUCUGAAAGCAUCUUCACCAUCUCAUAAUAAUUUUUAUUUAAUUUUUUUAAUCAAUAAUUUUUGCUAAUUAUAAAUAGCUCUAGUUUAAAAUUUAAAGUUUAUAUCAAAUUUCUAUUUAUUUUUACCAAUCAUAAUCUAGAUUUAUUUUAAAGGUAAAUAAAAAAAGUUAAAGAAAACUUUUUUUAUAUAAGUAAACAAUUUACAUCUUUAUUAUUUAUGCUGUAGAAUCUAUAAAAUUGAGAAAAUUAUUUAUAAUAUCAAAUAAAUUAAACAAUAUUAGAUUAAAUUUAUUAUUGUUUAGAUAUUAAUUUUACUAUAACGAUAAUAAUUUUUAUUUACUUUUGAAUACUUUAAAAUAAUAUAACUGUUAUUUAUUUAUUACGUAAAAUGAUAGUAAAUUUUGAUAAUAGAUGACUUAUUUAGUAAUAUAAAUGAUUUUAAUUGAAAAUAAUUAUGUAUAUAUAUAUAUAUAUCUCGCAUAAAUGAUUUUAAAAUAUGUAUAAUCAAAAACUUCCGAAUAUAUCCAAUUUAACUACAGCAAAAAUCGCUGACAAAAAAAAACUACAACAAAAAUCUUUAUUUAUGGCUCUGAAUGGUGAUUGCGGUUUGAGUGGUGCGGGACAAGCGGUUCAACUGCGGUGCGGUUUUAACAGUUAUAAAAACAUAUAGAUAUAUAGUAUAUAUAGAGAUUUUUGUUACUGUUAACUACGGGGCGGAGCGGGACAAUGGUCACUAUUCGAAGUUUAACAGCUAAAUUUUAUAAGCCACUAUCUAAUCAAUAUAAAGACUACGGUGCAUGUUUAUGACCUGACUAAUCUGAUUACGUUGUAAUAAUUGCUAAAUUUUUAUAGCCACUUUCUAAUCAAUAUAAAGACUACGGUGCAUGUUUAUGACCUGACUAAUCUGAUUACGUUGUAAUAAUUGAACAAUCUUUUAUGUCUUCUACUUUUUUUUUUGUCAACCGAAGAAGAAUCUUCUACUGACUCACAUAUAAGUGUAAAUGAGGUUUGACCUUUUCCUUUCGUCCGUUCAAAUGACGUGAGAGAUGGUACACGUUGGCUAAGAAGCCUGGAUUAUGAUUUUUGUUUUCAGAAAAGUAACCUGUAAGAUUAAAAUGAUAAAUUGAUUGUUAUUCAAAUAUUAAUUACAAAAUUAUUUAAAUUUAUAGUUAUUGAAAUUGACAUUUUACACUAUCCAUUUCAUUAAAAGUAUCAUUUAAGGUUUUUGCACACAAAUUAAAAAAAAAAUGCUAAAAUUUUCUGUUUUAUCCUUAAUUAAAACAUGAUUUUGUUUGGCUUUAUUAAUUAACGAGAUAAGAAUAAGAAAAAAACUGGAAAAAACAUCUAAUAUUUGCAUUAAUAUUAUAAAACGACUCUUAUAAUGAAACACAAUUUAAAAAUUAAAACGAUACUUAAUAUAAAACUGAUGGGGUAUAAAGUAUUAUGAAAUUGAGUGUUAUUGACAAUAUUUUAAGUUGUGAAUUUCCAAAGUUUACUAUUGAUUUUAGAGUAUUUGGAUAAAGUUUGUAAGUUAAAAAAAAAUCAAAUCACAUGAUUUUAGGUGAAACUCUAAAAUGAUUUAACCAAAAGCAUAUCUCUAAUUCUUAUAGAACUAUCUAAAUUUUUUUAAAAACUCAAAUUGAUCCACACUUUAGAUUUGAACGCAUUCCAUGUAUAGUAUUUUUUUCUGCUGCCAGCAAUUUAUAGGUAAAUUUGCUAAAUAAAACUAAUGUUUUUUUUAAUUAUUAAUACAUGUAUCCACUAAAAUAUUUUCUUUAUCACUCAUUAUGUUUCAAAAUGAUGUCACAUUUAGACAUUUUUUUUUGUCAGCAACUUAAAAAUAAACUCAUAUAGACUCUCUAAACCAAACUAGUAACUUCGCGUCCAUAUGGACAGCAAAAUACGAUUGAUUUCUUACACUGUGUGCGAGACUGUCCGUCCUUAAAUUCUGCGUCUAUGGUAUAUGAAUGAGCUUAGCUUGUGAAACUUCCUUCAAUAACUUUGAUAGUUUAGACAUUUAGAUAUUUAAAUUUUAAUAUAAAUAUAUUAUUUUUGUGAUUGACCCUUUCCCACAACUUUUAUCUAAUCAAAGUUUAAUAAAUACAAUUAAAAUCAUUCAUUUCUUAGAAAAUAAAAUUGUUUAAAAAGAUACAUUUAAUAUAUUUACUAUACAAUUUCUAAUUUUGUUUUACGGAAAACUUAUUCUCCACCAUUAUUAUUGCUCUUUUUAUUAUUAUAUUGUUCUAUAAAACUAUUAUUGAUUAGUCUUUAACUUUACUAGAGCUUUUUUAUGCGCGGAAUACGAGUUUUGAAUUAGUUAAAUUAAAAACCAAAUAUUUAUAUAUAUGAUUUUUGGGCAAAAAAAUAGACCCUUAUAAGUUUUUGUCACAAAAAUAGAUCUCAAAAACAAAAAUGACCAAAAUAGCACUUUUUAUUUUGAAAAUUGUUUUUAAAAAAAAAAUUUGAAAUCCUAUCCUUAAAACCCCACUCCUCAACUAUAAACCCUAAACCCUAAACAUUAAACCUUAAACCCUAAACUACACCCCUUAACUCUAAAACCUAAUGUCUAGAUUAAUUAAUCCUAGGGGUAUAAGUGUAUAUUUAAUUUUUUUGAUAAAACAUUUAAGUCUAUUUUGGUCAUAUUUUAUUUUUAAGGUUAAUAUUUGUGACAAAAACUUUUUUAAGUCUUUCUAUGGAAUUUCUCAUGAAUUUUUGCGUAACAUAUUAUUUAUACCUAAAUUUUGGAUAGUUGUUUUUCACACCAAUUUAAGCUGAAAAUGUGUAAUACUUUCCAAAUUUUAAUUUUGAUUUGUUUUUUUUCAAUUGUGUCUUAGAGUUUAUGUUAUCGUAAAAUAGAUUUACAACCAGAAAAUAACAGAAUUUUUAUAUACAUUUGAUGUAAUCAAUUUUUCUUUAUUUAAAAAAAAAUUAUUUUAAGCUUAUAAAGUUUUUAAAAAGAAUUCAGUGUUAAUUGUACAUACAGUUUGAGUCAUUUUAGUUAAAAUGUUGAAAUGUUAUCAUAAAUAAUACAUGGGAACAAAUUCUAGGGAAAUUGCCAAAAAUACCAUAUUCAUAAUACAACUUUUCAUGUUUACACUAAUCAUUUUACCCUUACUUUUAAAGAGCAAAAAAACAUUUAUAAAUAUAGAGUUGAGGGGUGGAGAAGGGUUUUUGGAAUAUGAAAUUUAGGAUUCUAAUAAAUAUAUAAAUAAAUACUUAAAAAUAUAUUAAAAUUUUUUUAAAAUAGUUUCAAAAAUAAUUUACGAUUUUCAAAGAGAAAUUUUGAAAAACAAAAUUUCAAAAUUUUUUUUAUAAAAAUUCGAAUUUGAAAAAGUAUAAUUCGAAAACAUAUUAAUAUAUAUAUUUAGUUUUUUAGUUAUUUAUAUAAUUAUUUAUUAUAUAUAAAGAGAACAAGGGUAUAAGAGUCUUUUGCAUCUUAAUGAAGAAUGUAUUUUUGAAAAUAUCUCUUUAAUUGUGGUAAACAAGAAUAAUGAUACAAAAAAAGUGGUAAACAUGAAAUUUUGUCCAAAUUCUAAUAAGGUUUUCCAGUUUGUUAUACUUUUUUUUGUUCUAUUUGUAUUUAACCCUCUAGUAAGCUUGGGCAUUCAGAUCUUAGGGUCAAGUUCAGGCCGGUGCUCCUCUCAAGUCUGGAUCCUUUGGGUCCUAUAAAUUUGGACCCAAUAGGUAUUUGUAAAAUUUCGGUUUGGAUAGUUUCUCCUCGGUUCCAGGUCGGUUUAGAUCUAUAAUUAAAAUACAUAUAAAUAACCCGUAAUUUUUGGGUCCGUAAUCGGGUUCAGGUAUUUACGAUUUGAAAAAGACACAAACUACGCAAACCCAAUCAAAUUUAGUCAAAAUCUAUCAUAUAUAUCUAAAAUUUUACAAAAUAACUUCAAAUCUAUCUUAUUAAAACAAAAACAGUGUGUUGGACCUAACGUUUAUUUUGUAAGUUUUUAAAUUAAAAAUUCCUUUCAACUUUAUAGUUAAACUUACAUUAAAUCACUAAUAUACAUUUCUUCGUACUACUAUCCGUAUUGCCAAACAAUAUACUUCUUUCUUUAUACUACUAUCCAUGUUUUCAAACAACAUUAUAAUUAAUCUUUUGUUAAAACAAUAUAAAAUAUUAGUCAUCAUCAUUUUAUAAUUUCAACAAAUUUUUUUCUUCAAAUUAUUUAGAUAAAUUAAAUAAUGAAAAGAAUUCAAAUUUUUUUAAAACAACGAAAAAUAAAUAUAACUUAUUUUACAGGUUUAAAUACUUCAAAAAUUAAAUAAUAAAUAAAUUAAAUUAAUGGAUUAUUUUAUUUAUAUUUCCUAAACAAUGGUUAUAUUAUUGAAGUAACAGAAUCAUUAAAUAAUAGCCAUAACAUAAAAUAAAUAUAUAUAUAUAUAUAUAUAUAAAUUUAUACAUUGUACAAUAAUAUAAUAAAAAAAUAGUUAUGUAAAAUGUUCAAUAUUAUAAUAUAAACCAAAUUAUUAACAAGAUAAAUUACACAAAACAACUACAGUAAAAUUAAUUGAGCUAUAUAAAAAGGAGUAAUAUGUUCAAGACAUAUUUAUAGUUCUUAAUUAUUUGAUAUCUAUCAUUUUCUCUAUCAAAUUUUGUAGAAACGUCAUAAUUUUAUAAAAUUUCAAAAAAAUGAACUUUAAAUUUGGAUUAAAAAGUGACAAAUUAUGAAACUAUAAUAAUGUAAAUCAAAUUGGAUUACAUAUCGGUCAUCCAUCGGUUCAAUCAGCUAGUCUCGGGUUUUAGUGAUUUUUUAAAUAUGGAUAUUUUUUAAAACACUGACUUAAAUGCAAAAAUAUUUUUAAAAAAUUUUGGUUUUUACAAAUUAACAAAAUAUUUAUUAAGUUAUUAGUAAAAAAUUUCAUCAUAGAAUAUUAUGCGCUCGCAAAGCCGAUCAAAAUCUAGUGAACUAUUAAAAUAUAAUAAAACAUGUUAAACUCUAAAUUUUAUAUUUAAAGUUUCAUAUUACUUAGGAAUGCUACACAAUUAGAACAAAUAUGGUAACAAAAAAAAUAUUUCAAGUAAAUCAUAAAAUAAAAUAUAGAAAAUAGAGCACAAAAAAUUAUAAUUUUGGAUAUUCAUGUCAUUACAUUUAGAUAACUCCUAAACAUAAUCUAAUUCCAUAUCUCGGUAGGAUUAGGUCUCUCUCUUGUUUUCUUUUUUCUUCAAGCUUAAUCUAACAUUCUCCCCCUUAAGCUUGAACUCCAUCUUCGACAAGUCUCGAACUUCAAUGAGUUCUCUCAUUUCCUUGAACUAGAUUCUUCCUAGUGCUUUCAUCAAGAUAUCUGCCUUCUGCUCUGUCCCGGGAACAUGCUCGACUUCUAUCAAACCUUUCUCCACACAUUCUCUAAUAAAAUGAUAUCGAGUAUAUAUGUGCUUUGAUCAGCCAUAAAACACUGGGUUUCUCGUGAGCGCAAUGGGGGAUUGAUUGUCUAUGCCUAUGACCGUCUUCUUGCAUAGUAACUCACUAAUUUCACCAAGUAAAUCCUGCAACCAAAUCGCCUGACGAGCUUCUUCUGUACCGGCCAUGAACUCUGCUUCACAGAAAGAUAGUGCCACAUUAUUUUGCUUCUGCGAACACAAUGAUAUAGGACUUUUGCCUAGGUAAAAUACAUGACCUGUCGUGCUCCUACCAUCAUCCUGAUCCACAUUGUGACUUGAGUCACAAUAGCCAACAAGACGUGUAGUUCCUGCCGUUGUAUUCUCAAACGUCAGACCAUAGCUCGUGGUUCCUUGUAUGUAUCUAAGGCAUUGCUUCAUUGCUGCUCCAUGAGAUUCUUUCGGUCAUGCAUAUACCGGCUAGGUACUCCUACACAGUAAGACAGGUCCGCACGUGUGUGUAGCAGGUAAAGCACUCAUGAUCUAUCCUCCAGUUUCUUCAGGUGUGGUUUCACCACUUUCGCGUAGCUAAUGAGAACGUUCACAUGUGACUUAGAUUAGGUUUACUUCCCCGAUAAGCUUCAUAAGGAGUCACGUCUUUAAGUACCCUAGUAGCCACAAGAUUCAAUAUGUACGUUGAAUGCCUCACUGCCUCAACGUACAGAGCUGAUAAGUGACGUUUGAUCCCUGCUUGAUCGCAGAACUCAUUAAACUCUCGAGAAGUAAACUCUCCUCCUCUAUACCCUCUGCUUUGAAUCAUGUUCUACCAUCAUCUUAAACCUCUUGAACUUCUCAAAGAAAUUGCUCUUCUCCUUCAAAAAUAUGGUCCACAUGCAUAGAGUGUGGUCGUCAAUGAGCACAAACACGCACUUGUUCCUACGAAGUGUGCUUGGUGUUAUAGGUCCGCACAAAUCACCAUGGACAAGCUCAAGUGCUUUGCUAGCUCUAUACGAUGUUGCUUUCGGGAAGGUUUUCCUUGUUUGAUUUCCGAGAAGGCUUGAACUGCAUAUCCUCCACGACCCCUACCUUUGUAAGACCUUCCUCCUCGUCUUCUUUUUCCUCGGUAAUCAUUGUAGUACUCACGAGAGGAUUGGGAAUCCGUGUUGGUAUACAUGAGUUUCCCUUGGUCUUCUUGGGCUUCUUCUUCUUUGGUAGCUCUUUCUUCAUACGCCUUUAGUCGACCAACAAUGUCUUCAGAACUGGUGGUUUUAAGAUCAAGCACUUGUUUGAGUGAUGCUAUGAUGUGUAUGUAUUUCUUUCGAGGGAGACUCUUAAGAAAUUUCUUGACCAGUUUUGAUUCUUCAAUUUCUUCUCCUAGGGCAGCAGACUUUGACAAAAUUUCAGACAGCUUUCCGGAAAAAUCAUCUAUCUUCUCGGCAUCUUUCAUUGUAAGUCUGUCGAACUCUGACAAUAAGGUCUGUAGUUUUGCUUCUUUAACUUGAUCUUCACCAACAUGUCAUGCCCUGAUAUCAUCCCAUACCUUCUUUGCCGUAUUAAACUCCCCGACUUGCAGCACCAAGGUCUAGGGUAUCACUUGAAACAACAAACCAACUGCAAUGUCGUUUUUAUCUUCUUCCUCUAUUGUUGUUUCUACGAUGCUCCAGACUUUAUGCACCUUAAGUAAGUUCUUCAUUCUAAUGGCCCAUACGGUGUAGUUCAUAGAGGUUAACGUUGGACACUUGAUCGAAGGAUCUCCUUCUUUUGGUUUCGAUGUUGUCAUUAUCGAUAGAUCUCCCAUAGAACACAAACUCUAGCUCUGAUACCAAAUAUUGAAUUCAAAGAUCAAUAAGAAUAUCUCUCUUAUUAUUAGCUUAAGAAAAUAUGCUCAAAACAUAAGCUCUCAAUCUCUAAACUCUUGUAAAUUAUGUCACACUUUGACAUCUCCAUAUGUAGAGUUUAUUAUUCCUAAUCCUAAUAGUCAUUACAUUUAGAUAACUCCUAAACAUAAUCUAAUUCCAUAUCUUGGUAGGAUUAGGUCUCUUGCUUGUUUUGUAAGUUUCUUUUUUCUUCAAGAUUAAUCCAACAACAAAUGGUAAAGAACGUGUAUAGUCUCAUUCAAUCAAAGGCUCAAAGCUAUAUAAAUCAAGAGAGUCACUCGUCUGUGUAUCGCAUCUGUGUGAGUACUUAAAACGAAUUGAUAUCAUCUUAGAAGUCUAUCACAUCUGUGUGAGUACUUAGGUUGUUUUUUAUGGGUGUAAUGAAAGAAUAUGUUGUUUUUCCAUACUCUGUUUUUGUAAAGAAAAACAGUGUCUGUAAGUUCCCAUGUUUUUUAUAAUAAGUUUCAUCAGAAAUUUGAUCUCGAAAAAUACCCCGAAAAAUGAUACCAACAAUCUACCAAGAAGAUCAUCCUUCAGUAACUUUCCAAGGAUUUGACGACAUAUCUAAUUCUCCGAGAGUCAAAGUCCGAUGACUUGCUAUUUCUAGGAACAUCAUCGGAAACUGUCCACUCCGACUUCAACUUUGCGAAAAUUGUGUUAGGCAGGUACAAGGCAAAAAGAGAAAUUCCAUAGGAUAGUCAUUUUAACUUUAGUUUCACAAAAAUAGCUUUCAAAGAGAAAAAUGAUCAAAAUAUGUUUUAUUGAAAGGUAAAUAUACAUUUAUAGCUAGGGUUAACUAAUCUAGAAGUAGAGGUUAAGUUAAAAGGUGGGGUUUUGAUGGUGAAGUUUCAAAAUUUUAAAAGUAAAAAUAAAUAUUAAAUUUUUCAAAAUAAAAACAGGCUAUUUAAAGUAAUUUAUAAUCAUUUUAAAAAUUGAAAGCAAAUUCCAGAAUUAAAAUAUUAAGUUCUCGAUUGUUUUUCAUUGCAAAUAUCAAAAUAAAAGUAUGUGUUUUUAUAUGCUCUGUAGUUUAAUUUCUAUAUAUAUAUAUAUAUAUAAACACCUAUUAAAUAAGAUUUCUUACUCAUGUGGUUUAUAAUCAUAUGUAUCUUAUUAUAACAAAAAUUUUAAACCAUUGAUUACAAAAUUUAUGUGAGACUUUUAAUAGUUUAGUAAUUUAUAUUC